rnacentral:rRNA from 1 species
GAAGGUACCUGAGGAAUAAGCAUCGGCUAACUCCGUGCCAGCAGCCGCGGUAAUACGGAGGAUGCAAGCGUUAUCCGGAAUGAUUGGGCGUAAAGCGUCCGCAGGUGGCACUGUAAGUCUGCUGUUAAAGAGCAAGGCUCAACCUUGUAAAGGCAGUGGAAACUACAGAGCUAGAGUACGUUCGGGGCAGAGGGAAUUCCUGGUGUAGCGGUGAAAUGCGUAGAGAUCAGGAAGAACACCGGUGGCGAAAGCGCUCUGCUAGGCCGUAACUGACACUGAGGGACGAAAGCUAGGGGAGCGAAUGGGAU